CCUACGGGAGGCAGCAGUGGGGAAUAUUGCACAAUGGGGGGAACCCUGAUGCAGCCACGCCGCGUGAGUGAAGAAGUAUUUCGGUAUGUUAAGCUCUAUCAGCAGGGAAGAAAAUGACGGUACCUGUCUAAGAAGCCCCGGCUACCUACGUACCAGCAGCGGCGGUAAAACGGAGGGGGCAAGCGUUAUACGGAUUUACUGGGGGGAAAGGGAGAGUAGAAGGCAGAGAAAGUCUGAAGUUAAAGCCCGCGGCCCAACCGCGGAACUGCUUUGGAAACUGCCCGGCUAGAGUGCUGGAGAGGUAAGCGGAAUUCCUAGUGUAGCGGUGAAAUGCGUAGAUAUUAGGAGGAACACCAGUGGCGAAGGCGGCUUACUGGACACCAACUGACGUUGAGGCUCGAAAGCGUGGGGAGCGAACAGGAUUAGAUACCCUUGUAGUC
rnacentral:rRNA from 1 species